GUUUCUUCCUGUUUUCAUGAAGGGAAUGACAAACAUUGACAUGCAGGAAGAUAAAGAGACAGAUGUCAGGAGUCAGAGAAGAUGAUGGACUGAAGACUGAAGAAAGAUCACAAUAUUAUCAUGUCCAGCAGAGAGAGCAGAGCUGUUGUUCGCAGUUCUGCUCGCAGGAGAAGACGGAGCAAAGAGAAAGAUCCUCCCUUCA